rnacentral:rRNA from 1 species
CAGCAGCCGCGGUAAUACGGAGGGAGCUAGCGUUGUUCGGAAUUACUGGGCGUAAAGCGCACGUAGGCGGUUAUUCAAGUCAGAGGUGAAAGCCCGGGGCUCAACCCCGGAACUGCCUUUGAAACUAGAUGACUAGAAUCUUGGAGAGGUCAGUGGAAUUCCGAGUGUAGAGGUGAAAUUCGUAGAUAUUCGGAAGAACACCAGUGGCGAAGGCGACUGACUGGACAAGUAUUGACGCUGAGGUGCGAAAGCGUGGGGAGCAGACAGGAUUAGAUACCCCAGUAGUCCCUGUCUCUUAUAC